UUAAGCUGCCAGUAGGUUAGGAGCAGCAAGAUAGUGAUAGCAUCACCAGGAGGGAAGGCUGCAUUCCCUCCCAUAAGGGAGAAAAACAAGCCCAAAAGACUGGCUGAGAGAAGGAAUAGACUUCCCCUGUGCAGCCAAGAAGGACUGUUUUACCCAAGCCUGUCUCACCAAGGCUAAAAACAGCUGAGGCCGGUGAGACCGGGAAGCUGAAAGAAUGGUGGCUGUACUUACUCGACCAGUUGUAGCUGUGCCUUUAAAGUACCAGUGACCCUAUGAUACACCCAUAGCAGCGUUAGGUGUUUUAAGGGCAUCCCUGCUGGCCUUCACUGAAGUUUCUAUGCUAAAGAAAGAGCUGUUGAGAACACAACAGAAUGAUCCAGAUGGCUAAAUCGGGGUCUGCAGCAUUGGAUCUCUCCAGGCAACAAACAUCUCUGGUGUUUUUUUUUUUUUCACUCUCUCCAUUACUAUGUGUGUUAUAGUAAGAGCCAACAUAUACUUCACCCCAUGGAAUGUAGUAACUCUGGGAAUGUAGUGUUGGAUAUUGAAUUUGUGGUAAAUCAUAUUACAGUCCUAGCUGGGGCAAGAUAUGUUUGUGGUUUUGUAUGGUAUGCAUUUGUUUUGUAUGGUGAGUGCAACCACUAUUCUUGUUUUCUUUCAAUGGAACUGUAUUACCAGGGACUCCACAACCAGUGCAACUCCUGGAAAUUCGCUACACCAUAUUUAAUGAGGUUCUACAGCAUAGAGGGGGCUCUGUCAGGAAGUUAAUGGAAAGGAGGUAGAUGAAUCACUCAUGGAAAAUCAAUCACAUAAUAUCCCUUCCUCACAGCGUUCUGCAGGAGGAAAGCGAGUCAAGGGAGAAGUGAGAAGUCAAGAAGUUCAUGCAAUGUGAGCGAACAACAACAACAAAAGGAGACUAGCUCUGAAGGAAGAAGUCUGCCAUGCUGCACCUGACUGACAGCAGAAGUUGACAAUGUGGCAGAUUUUAUGAGUGGAAACUAGCUUCUUAGACAAUCAAGACAACUUUAUGGCUACAGAUUUCCUAUCUUACCAGCAACUGAGGACACCAGUCAACUAUUAACCCAAGGGCUGGCAUGGUGCCAAUUGUAAGGAUCCCCAGACUUUUGUUUUACUGACAAGGCUUUGAAGUGUGGAAAUGAACUGAGAUGCUGCCAUUCUUCUCAAGGUCUGAAGGGUCCUGGUUACACAAGCUACACAUCAUGGCCACGUUAUAGAGACUAGAAAUCAUCUCUGAAAGUAAAUUAGAGGAGAAUGUGUUUAUAUGUAUGUUCUAAAGGAGAGAAGUGUAAAUUAUGUGGACAGUUUACAUUUAAAUAUAUGUAACAGCAACAAAGUGAGAGAGUCUGA